CACAGGUUCAUGAUGACAACACGGAGACAAUCGGGUCAAGAAAGGAUGCAAGAAGACGGAGCUGCAGCAGAACAUCCUGACGUCUGCAGACAAAACUUCUUCUCAGAUCCUCCCACGCUGUGACCUGAACUCAGCCGGGCGUCAGGACGACGGGCUGCACGCAGUAUUUUGGGUCCAUCUUGUGAAAAUGAGAAGGGCGUCUUCUCAAGGCGAAGCAUGAACUCUCGUCUUUCUACCAGAGCGAUCAGCAUCGGUGGAGCAUGUCGGGCAGAGAUCCCACCGUUAUAAAUUAAAUCCUGUCAUAACCGAAGACAUUCAGACUCUCUCCUGCUCCACUGUUCUGAUCAGCAACCUGCUCAGGUUUUCCUGCAGUUUCAUCUCCUUCAUUAAAAUGCUCUGCCCUCGGGCAGCUUUGUCGCUUCACAGGCGUUUGUAAAGGUGUUAGAUAAGGUAAGAGUAACACGAGCUCAGCGUAAUCAAGGCAAGGCAAGACGAAAUGGCUCAAACCAGUAUGUGGGUUUCUGCCAGUUUUUGCCUUUGUAACUCCUCAUGUUUUGGAUUUUGUUCCAUUAAUUUGUUGCAGGUGUAAACGUGUAACAACGGCAACUGGUAAAAUGUUUACUGGUUUCCUCAGCUGUUCACUGUGAGAUGUCUUUCCUGACAUUUUUGUGUGUUUGCAAUGUAAAGCACUUUGAACUGCCUUGUUUCUGAAAAGUGCGGUCGAGGGCGUAAAUCCCAUCUCAUUUUCUGGGGGGGGGAAAAUAAACAGAAAAAUUUCUUAAGAGCAAUUUUGGAGGGGUUGGCAAAUUUCCAUUGAAAUGUAACGUAAAAUGUGGUUUAGAAAGAUUUUAAACCACAUUCAAGCUGCAGGACCAAAAAUGACUAGAAAUGCACAUCAAACAUGUUUUAUUCUCAGUAAGCAAACUGUUGAGAAGUUAAACUAAAAUUCAAAAAGAGUUUUGUUCAGUCUGACUGAUCUAAUCGCUGCUACACCUUUACAAAAAUGUAAGGUUCUAAAUAAAAACAAGUUUUAAUGCUCUUAAUAAAAUCCCUCAUAAACAUUGAUUUAUUUAAAUGGCUCUCAAUACAAGUUAUGGGCUACAUAAAUUGUAACUUGUUAAGUUGGUUUAUUUUUAAACCUUUUUUAGUUUUGCCAUUUUCUGGAUGGCUGAGAACCAACAAGUAGAUAGAAAUUAAUAUCUGGGAAGUAAUUAAUUCGAAAUUAAUUCUUAUUUUUUUAUUAGACAAAUGGCAGAUUUUUUUAAUUCUUUGUUUAUUUUGCAUUUUUAUAUGGAUUGUGUUUAAAUGCAAAGGGAACAAUUCUAGACUUUUCCAAGAUUGGGGCGGGGAGUUGGGCCCCUCUGACCCCCCUGGGAUUUACGCCUGUGUGUGUGAUACAAAAACUUUCCUGAUUGAUUGAUUGAUUGAAGGCAGAGAUUUGACCGGAAGAGAAGCAAAAAAGCGACCAGGAUCUGACGAGUGACAACCAAAUCCCAGUAAACAUAAAUCCUGAGGCAGAAAAAUGUAUAAUGACCAAACAGUAAGAAAAGAAAAAAAAAAUAGUGAGGUUUACACCAACUUGGUGUAAACUAGUAAACCAUUCACUUGUAAGAAAGGAAGAAAAACAAAACAACACAGAGAAUAAAAGAAAUUAAAUAAAAACAACAAAGCUUACAGAUAACCAUAAAGUUAACAAUGCAAAACAGGAAACAACCAUCAAACCACCCUGAUAAUUUGGUGUGCGUAUUUAAAUUUUAUCACUUUUCCUGAAGCGUGACUUCACUGAUGUAGGGUGUUUUCAUGUCACUAUUUUCAGUACUGGUUGCCAUGGGAACCACACUUUUUGUAUCCGUUUUGAUUAUCAGCACACAGAGAGAGAAAACAUGUUUGUACUAAACUUGUUUAUUUUUUAAAUACGAGUUUUUAACCCUGCCUGGUCCAGCAGGUAAAAAGUUCUGAUGUAACUUCAUGAAGGUUUCCUGUCGCCUUUUUUUUUUUUUUUUUUUUUUUUAAUUCAUCGCUCGUUCAAAAACCCAAAUCAGAUCAAUAUGCCAGCUUUGCAAAACCCUAAAAUCCCCCUUUUCGUUAGCAGCAGCAUGUUGUAAUUUGUCUCCACCCAUCAACCAUCUGUCAGCUUUCAUGUAUGACUCACACAUGCAGAUUAUGGAAAUACAGACUAACAUCCACGGAGAAGCAGCUUAAUUUAAAAAUUCCACUCAAAUCUUUGAAAGCAAGUUUUCUCAUUUCAACAGAAAGUUUCUGGAUUUCUAUGCACAAGAGCUAAAAAAAGAGAUGUUAAUAAAGUGCAACUUGCAGGGAGAUUUCGGAGAGCACCGGAAAAGAAAUGCCUCAAACUGAAGGUUUAGACAGGGGUGUCCAAAGUGCGGCCCGGGGGCCAUUUGUGGCCCAUGGGCUGAUUUUAUGUGGCCCAUAAGUGCAAUUCAAAAAUGAUACAAAUUUGGCACGUAGAUGCAGAUGGAGACUUUUUGUUACCAACAUGAUUUUCCUGCACAGGAAAAUCCAAAGUACAACCCAAACUACUUAGUUUUAAUAAAAAGCUUAAACCAAGUUUAUCCACAGACUUUUACUGAAAACCCGCGUCCAAUUAUUUCUCCGCUACUACUUUUGAGUCCACAAUUUUGGCCCAGUUGGAAAAACGUUUGGGCCCCUCGGGUUUAAGAAGAACAAAAAUCACCGGGAGCAAAUUUAAACCCAGCAGGAGUUUUUAUUUCUUUACAAAACAGAAGUGCAGCCUCAUACAGAAACAGAAGGCAGGGAGGUAAAUCUACUCCUCGGGUUUUAACGUGACGACUUGCAACCACUGGGAGAAUGCACUGAAGCUCUGUUCACACACUGACAGUCUGCACAUCACCUUCACUGUAAAAAACUGCAGAUUAAAGCAACAGCUGAGAGAUUACCGCAUCACACAGUUAUGUAAGCAAAUAAAUCAAAACCGCAGAAAAAACAAAACAUAAACAAAAGUUUUCCAUUUUCUGCAGGCCCAGAAGUAUAAAAUAAAAACUGAGUGUUUUACUCUGAAACCCAUUCAAAUUUAUUAAAAUAACAUUUAGUUGUAAUUUUAUGUAAUGUUUAACAGCUACUAUGCAAAAUGUGUUUAUAACCUCAGAAAAUGUUUGCUAAACAGUACAAGAUUACCUUUAAACUUUGUUUUUCUUAAAAAAGCUUAAAAGUAAUCUUUAAAGCCAUCUUUAAAACACAAUUUUUAAAGAUGCUUAGAGCUGUAAAUAAUUCUGUAAAAAAAUAAAACAGUUGUGCAUUUUUUCCAUCCUUAGCGUCUGACAUUUAUUUGCUUGUUUUUAACAUAACAAUGUUGAGACCAAUUACAUUUUCUGUUUUGCAGAAAAUAACUUGUGUGUCCAUAAAGCAGCUACUCUAACUUUAUUACCAAAAAAUUUAAUUUGAAAAAUAAAACAAAAAAACCCAAUUAUUUGUUUUCUGAUUUUUUUUUUUCUUGUUGUUGUUGUUGCGACUCCAAAGAGAAAUUCACAGUUGUCACCAGAUAGAGAAACACUGCAGAGAGCAGGACGUAUAACUGGUACAAAAACCCCUGAAAACACUGAGCUAAAGCUUAUACCAGUUUGUUCUUGUACUGUAUGUGACACCGUCUGAAAGCCACAACACAUGAAAAGACCAGAGUGAACAGUUCAUUAUUUAGUCAUCAUAAAGCGCGUUUAAAACAGGAGACUUCACAGUUUAAUUCCCAACACGCGGUACUCGAAGGAAAAAUACACCUUACUGACCUCUGAAAAACAAAAUACUGUUUUCUUCUGGCUUAAAAACAACGUUUAUUUUUCAGGCUGACAGCCGCGGCCAUUACAGCAGGAAGUGAAGGCUGAAGGAUGUAAACAGUUACACACAUUUCCUUCUUUAACAACAUAAAGUUUACUAGCUGUAGCAGCACAGAAAUGAAAGCUGAAACUAAUUAUUUUUAUAUAUUCUUCCUGGUGAGUUCUGAUUAGCAUUGGUAGCUAAUGCUAAAUCACUUCAGCAUUAGCUACCAAUGCUCAAGCCAGUGGUUUACAAGUUAGAGGUAAAACACUAGCUAGUAGUUUAGCUUAUACCACAACUACUUUGUUGUGGUUUACACCAACUUGGUGUAAACUAGUAAACCAUUAGCUUGUAAGAUAAUGUUAAACCACUAGCUAGCUAGUGUAGCUAGUACACUUGUUUAGUUGUUUAGAGUACACUAAACAAGUGUACUAGCUACAUUAGUUCGGAACUAGUUUGUACACUUGUUUAGUAAACUAGAUAUUUGACAGCUGAACUUGUAGUGGUUUACAAGCUAGCAGUAACCUAGCUGCGCUGCUAACUAGAGGACAGCUAGUGCUAAAGUAAAUUAGAAAAAUCUUGUAUCAGUUCAGAACUUUGACAAUACAGUAAGGACUUGUUUAAUCUGCUGAGGCAACCAUUUUGGAAAAUAAUUGUUAACCUGUUGUCAUACUGUUUCCUAUUGGUGCCGUAAAGGCUAAUGUAAAAUCCAGGAUUAGCUGCACCUAUCUUGUCACCAAUGCUAAAAUGUGUUUUACAAAAGUCCAAACAAAAAUAAAUUUAGCUACUGUUACAGAUAUAAAGUAUGUAUGCUUUUUAAGGUUUUAGUGCCUUUAGGAAAGUGUUGAUGCUUCUGAAUAUAACUGGUUCAAUAAAGAUGGGACCUUGUCAGUCCCAUUUCAAAUAAACUGAAAAUAAAAAGAGGUGUUUUGUCGUUUUAAUGACAUUUCCUCUGAUGGCUGUAAUAUUUUUAUUUUUCAUAGAAUAUAGGGUUAGCUCCCAUUUCAUGUCCCAUUCAGCAUACCGAGGUAAAGUGUAUUUUCCUCAGUGCAGACUGAGCGUUUGCAUAGUGUAGCACGAGUGCAAGUUCCUCUGAUAUUAAUGUAGAGUCUCUAAGGAGCAACGCUCGUGCCACAAAUAUACUGAUUUAUUAUUGGCUGCUAAAAGUAAUAAUUUCCAAGGGUUGUUCAUCAAUCAGUCCUUAGCAACCAUAAAGUUGAUUGAAAGUUAGAUUGUAAAGUUUUAUUCUCUAACACAGACAAAUCAUAUGGUGACAGUUUUGGCUUAAUGAAACCAGAUUGUGAAAUUUAUGUGCAGGCCCCCCUGAGAUAAUUAUUUAGUCUUUCAAGAUGACAGUUUAGUGGAGAUAACCUUCUGCUACUGUGCAGUUCAAAACAAUAAACAGAAACGCCUCUUUUAAAACGUUUUUACGAAUAUUUAAUUUGGGGACCAAACCAACUACCUGUAAAAACGAUACUUAAUAUUGAAGCAUGCCAUAUUUUAAGCACAUUUUCUUAGCUGGUAUUUCCAAAUUCAGACUUUUUACAGUACAUUUUUCCUCUCAUGAAUCUCUGCAUUUGUUUAUGAGCUUUGCAGUUAUUUUUCUUUGUAGAACUUGUUUCCAUCUCCAACCCGCAGAUCCUCUGACACUUCCAACCUCUAAGCCUUUUUUCAACAGGACCCAAUUAUUCUGCUUAUGUUUCCAGGUGGAUUUUUCCUUCAAGUACGGUGUGACAGUAAAGACGGCUCGAGUAAAAACCAACAGCCUGAGGGUGAAAUUCACCUACGAAGCCGCGGCCAAGCCCGAAAUUUAGCACAAACACGCACACGUUAUAAACAAACACUCAGCAGAGACAGAUUUCCUGUCCCGACUCCCUUAAAGGGUAAAAAACAUCAGCAAGAGCACUGCUUGAGUUUCUAAUCCUACGUAAACAGACUUAGUGUAAGGCAAAGAGGAAGAGGAGGAUAAGGAGAGGAAGGGUGCAAAGGGAGAGAGGGGAUGAAGCUGCGGAGGAGGAAACAAUAGCGAAGAAGGGAGAGUAAGGUGAGGAUGGUUUGAAAGGCAGACGGCAGAAUUAAAGGGUUUAAAGACAAAGUUUUACCGAAGACUCGACUUCUGCAAGAAAAGGUGAACAGCUGCAGCUUGAACAGAAAAACACGAAGAAAAUGUCUUUUCUUUUCACAUCAACCGUUUAGAUUAGAGCCACUAAAAACAGAAAAGGUAACACUUUAUUUGACGGGUUGUGAAUAAGACACCGUCAUAAACACGGCCUAGAAACCAUGAUCUGACAUAAAUUUGUUAUAAAAGUAUUAUUGAUUAAACUUUAGC